AUAUCAUCAGUAGGCUUUUAUACCUAAAACAUUACAUGCUAACCUAGCCGAGUUGAAACUGCAUAAGCUUACAUACAUAAGUUUACAGAAAUGAGUAAUCCUUGCGGGCGAAGAGGACAUUAAUUGGUCCUAGAACGGCCUGAGGUGGAGGGGUUUUAAUCGGUAGGUCCGAGGACUUCUUCCUCGGGAAUCCGACACUACCCAGUUGUACGGACGGCUGGGCGUCUUUCGAAGAUUUCCCCUCUUCCACGAAA
rfam:Agrilus planipennis Contig26273, whole genome shotgun sequence.